rfam:Ixodes scapularis strain Wikel colony gcontig_1108379645140, whole genome shotgun sequence.
GCACUCGUGGCCGAGUGGUUAAGCGAUGGUCUAGAAAUCCAUUGGGGUCUCCCCGCACAGUUUCGAAUCCUGUUGACUGCG